AUUGAAUCCGAACGCUGUUCUGAACUUUCUCUUUUGCAAAGGCGACAGCGUCUAACGACUCUUUCUCAAAGGCACAACUGGAUAUCUCGAGUAUAGACCCUGGUCGGACGAUCUGCACACUGAGAAGAAGCAGAAUUUCAUGUGCCUGUCGUUCUGUCCACGAUAAUAAGCACCAAUGAAGAUUGCUGGUAUCGGAUACCCCUUCAGGUCUGUUCAACCACCAGGUAAAAUAAGCUGCUGUUGUCUAGAGGUGAGACCGAACAUCUACUGGGGGCUGCAACAGUACCAAAUCAAACAGCAGUGUUCGACUGAUUGUUUCUGACAGAUAUGGUGGAAUUUUGGAAGGUGGAAUUUGGGAAAAAGCCACGCAAGCUGCUUCUACUAGCGAGAAUGACAUACAGAAAAUGAAGCGAGUCGCCUAACCCGCCUACGGGAGCUUCCGUGACCUUGUGACCGUCGCAGAAACCGUGUAGCUAACAGGCGCGUUACUUCAUAGACUGGGCGGGCAACGCACUUGCAUUUCGUUCCUUGCAGCGACUGUCAAAUACGAUGUCUCUGUUUAUUCGAUUUGAGUUAUACAGUUCUGGAUAUUCUUUGCCAAAACUAGAAGGAACCACCAUCCGCAGUAGCGAUCGAUUGAUCUGGGUAAACCUCAACAUUUUUUGGGGACGCCCGGAAAGACUGAGCGGGGAAUAUCGGCGUGUCUUACAAUACAUCGUUCGACGCUCAGACGACGGCAACUGUAGAGGUGCCCCGCUCAUUUGCAUUGUUAGUGGAACGGCGUUUUCGACCGCUUCGGUGCAUUCGCAGAUUUUGUUGGGAUUGAGUUGCCAUUGGAAUGGACAGUUGGGAUUGCGUCCGUCUGUACGUGCACGUGGCCAACACAAAAUCAGGAAAACGUCAGUCAAAUUAAUGAGGUUGAAUCCACUGGGUGUUAGGGAAAGGUAC
rnacentral:lncRNA from 1 species